rnacentral:tRNA from 1 species
GGCCCAAUAGUGUAGUGGUAUCAUACAUGCUUUGGGUGCAUGUGACAGGCGUUCGAUUCGCCUUUGGGCCC